rnacentral:rRNA from 1 species
UACGGGGGGGGCAAGCGUUGUUCGGAAUUACUGGGCGUAAAGGGCUCGUAGGCGGCCAACUAAGUCGGAUGUGAAAUCCCCAGGCUCAACCUGGGAACUGCAUCCGAUACUGGAUGGCUUGAAUUCGGGAGAGGGAUGCAGAAUUCCAGGUGUAGCGGUGAAAUGCGUAGAUAUCUGGAGGAACACCGGUGGCGAAGGCGGCAUCCUGGACCAUUACUGACACUGAAAAGCGAAAGCCAGGGGAGCAAACGGG